rnacentral:lncRNA from 1 species
UGAACUUCCUGCAAACACAAAUAUACUCUUCUUAUGUACACAUGUACAGUUGACACAAUUACAGAACGAGCAGAAGGUGAGCGAGCAGAACCCUUUCUCAAAGCAACAUCGAAAGGCUGUAGUAAUCAAAUCGGUGGGCAUUGGCAGAAAGCAGCCCUUCCAGGACUCCCAGACCAUGAAUGAAUUCCCAGGAAAAUCAUAUGCACAUCAAAAGCCUUGGAUUUCUUUGUCUAAAACUUUCUGAAGAGAACCACUCCGAUGAAACCGCUGUCUCAACUGAGACUUCUCUGAGGGAGGGGAAGUGUUCUGAUGCUAAGAAUUACCAUUCGGCCAUGUUAGUCACACAGGAUUUCACCUAACUUCUUGUGACAUUUUCUUGUUUCAAUAUGUCCAAGUAUAUCACGGAUUCUGUUCCAUCCCAAAAUACAUUUUAAAAUGCACUUUAAGGAGAACACCAAAGCAGAUGUCAAAACUGUAUUUAAUGUUCUAACAUCCAACCCACGCUAAUUAAAUGCUAGCCAUGCCAAUUCCUGUGCUCUAAGACCCCAAGAUGAACCAAGUACACUCACAGGAGUAGAACUUCCAGUUCUGAUAAAA